UGUAUCUGUAUACCUGUGUGUGUGUACAUGACCACCAUGCAAUCUAUUACCCAGUCUGCUGUUCAAGAGAGACUUGUGAUGGAGGAAGAGCUCAAGAAGGCACUGGAUCACUGUAAGGAGUUGGAGCAGAGCAGUGUGCCUGCAGUGGACGGGGUGGACAUAUUCGAGUGCUACAAAGUAACGGGAGAAGGAAGAGUACUUGAAACAGCUAUACAAUGAAGUACAUGGCUGCGAUAAAAUCCUUCGAUGUUGUGGAUGGGCAAUCAGCUGUCUACUGACCAGAGACGUAACCUAUUAUAGCUGUGCUCCAUUUGCCUCGGCUGGAAAAAAAAGGGUUCUUCCUGCAAGCAUCGACUGUGGACCCCCCGGACAGAUAGCUGGGUAUCGAUGCGUACUCUGACGUGAUCAAACCAAUCAUCUGCAUCAGUGUCCAUGAGAUAUGCCCUUACAGUGUCGUUAAGUAGAGACUUGGCUUGAUACAAUAAAAGGCGUAAGAACUCAGUCAUAAUUUUUUAUUUGCACAAUACUUUUAUGUAACGGACCGUAACUUCAAAAUACAAAUAGUAUACGGUUUAUUUUACUGACAGUAUCCACAAAUGCACGGAUUACCCCCUUUUUGGGGUAAUGUACGCACAUGUGCAUACAAGGUAUUCCAGGCCGCCUUUCUCUUCGCGGCCUGGAAUCGAGGCUAACCACUACGAUGUUGUGAUGGUUGUAUCUGUAUACCUGUGUGUGUACAUGACCACCAUGCAAUCUAUUACCCAGUCUGCUGUGCAAGAGAGACUUGUGAUGGAGGAAGAGCUCAAGAAGGCACUGGAUCGCUGUGAGGAGUUGGAGCAGAGCAGUGUGCCGAUGGGGUAUACUCGAGUGCUACAAACAACAGGUGAUAAAAGUGGUACAGUAUACCUGUACAGAUUAUGGCAUACAUUAUGCACUGCAUCUAUGUACAUUACUGGACUAGACUGUUUUUCAAUUUAACCAUAAUCAUUAAUUUUUGGUAAAAAAAUGCCAAAUCAGCAGAAAAUUUGACCCUUUCGUAACUUUCCAUGAAUUGUCCGGUUAUCUGUUGGUUUAGAGUUGAUCAUGUUUUUCUGUAUACCUUCGCGCUGUUUGAGGCUGAGAAUGUGGCCCUGUCAGUAAUGAACCCGUGCAUUCAGGAAGCCUUCAAGAAAUCAAGGAAUAAAUGUGAUUACCAGAACUGAAUUUGUAGUUAAAUAGUUGAAAGUGUGUAUGUAAGAAUGAUGGUCAUGUGAUGAUGCCAUGGGUGUUUCUACCUUCUACUAAAGUAUCGUACCUACGUAUGAUCUAAAUUGCAAAUUAGCUAUUUUCGUUGCCAUGCAGAGGGUAUGAAUAUACAUACACUCAUCAGGGUGUCAUACAGGAUUUUGAAGUAGAGGGGGGAAAUGAGAAAAGUAACCAGAAAAUGUUGCUAAAAAAAGGUCAACCGUUAUUUCAAUACCCAGCUAUGGACACUCAGUCAUAAUUGAAAGGGGGGGGAAAUUGGAGCUA